rnacentral:lncRNA from 1 species
GUUGUGCUUUAAAUUCAUAGUCUUCCAAGCAUGAAAAUAGCAUGUUUUUAUGAAGAUCUUGGCUGCCAAAGUUUGAAGUUCAAGGCUGCCGAUUUUUUUUAUGAAAGUUUGAGGUUGAAGAUGAUGCAUGUUAAGGGUUUUGAUGUGUUUGUGUUCUAGGAUGGUUGAUGAGCAUGAUGAAGUUUUGAAGUGUAAAUGUUAGAGUUGCAUGAACUUAAGGCUGCUGUUCGUGUUCAGUUUCUGGAGUCAUGCAUUGCAUCAUGUUUUAAUUGGUUAUUUAAAACUCCAAUUUUAAAAGAAAGACGAGUAAGAAUAUUGUUGGUGUUCUUAACUCAAGAGAAUU